rnacentral:snoRNA from 1 species
CUUUAUGAUGAAACGGCACUGGGCUCCGAAAUUCCAUGAGCAAGACACGCCACUUUCGCGACAGGCCUAGAAAACCUCGUCCACUGAUC